rnacentral:tRNA from 1 species
UAUUUUAAUAGCUUAUUAGAGCAUAAUAUUGAAGAUAUUAAGGAGGUCAGUAUGAUCUUAAAGUAU